GGCGCCAUAGUCUAGUGGAUACGACAUCGGUCUCCGGAACCGAAGGUCGCGGGUUCGAAUCCCGCUGGCGUCG